CCGCUAUUGGAGUUCGAUUAAGCCAUGCGAGUCGCGAGNNUUAGAUUCUCGGCGUACCGCUCAGUAACACGUGGGUAACCUGCCCUAUGCUGGAUAAUAACCUCGGGAAACUGAGAAUAAUGAUCCAUAGUUCACUACGCCUGGAACGGUGAGUGGAUGAAAGCUCCGGCGGCAUAGGAUGGGCCUGCGGCGUAUCAGGUUGUAGGGGGUGUAACGUACCCUCUAGCCCUCUACGCGUACGGGUGUUGGGAGACAUAGCCCGGAGAUGGAUUCUGAGACACGAAUCCAGACCCUACGGGGUGCAGCAGGCGCGAAAACUUGGCAAUGCGAGAAAUCGUGACCAGGGAACUCCAAGUGCAUGGGGUAAGACCCAUGCUUUUCUUGACUCUAAAUAGGUCUUGGAAUAAGGGGUGGGUAAGGACGGUGCCAGCCGCCGCGGUAAUACCGGCGCCUCAAAUGGUAGUCGCUUUUAUUGGGCCUAAAA
rnacentral:rRNA from 1 species